UAACACGUGGGCAAUCUGCCCUGCACUCUGGGACAAGCCCUGGAAACGGGGUCUAAUACCGGAUAUUGACCUUCACGGGCAUCUGUGAGGUUCGAAAGCUCCGGCGGUGCAGGAUGAGCCCGCGGCCUAUCAGCUUGUUGGUGAGGUAAUGGCUCACCAAGGCGACGACGGGUAGCCGGCCUGAGAGGGCGACCGGCCACACUGGGACUGAGACACGGCCCAGACUCCUACGGGAGGCAGCAGUGGGGAAUAUUGCACAAUGGGCGAAAGCCUGAUGCAGCGACGCCGCGUGAGGGAUGACGGCCUUCGGGUUGUAAACCUCUUUCAGCAGGGAAGAAGCGAAAGUGACGGUACCUGCAGAAGAAGCGCCGGCUAACUACGUGCCAGCAGCCGCGGUAAUACGUAGGGCGCAAGCGUUGUCCGGAAUUAUUGGGCGUAAAGAGCUCGUAGGCGGCUUGUCACGUCGGUUGUGAAAGCCCGGGGCUUAACCCCGGGUCUGCAGUCGAUACGGGCAGGCUAGAGUUCGGUAGGGGAGAUCGGAAUUCCUGGUGUAGCGGUGAAA
rnacentral:rRNA from 1 species